AGCUGCUCCUUCAUGGCCAUGUUCUAUUGCAUGGAAAUAUCAUGGCUACCAGAUGUCAUUACAAACAUCACCUAACAUCAAAAGCUGCACCUCAUUAUAGAGGAAAGGAAAAGGAAAAAGAAGGAAAAUAAACACUCCAGUCUGGAAGAAGAGUAAUUCUUUAGAAGUGGUGUCAGAAAAGAGAGGAAAUGAGGUUAUGAGUUAUGCUUUGUCCCUCUUUGAAUUCUCUGUCUAGAAUUUGCAGGUGACUGAAGACGGUCAAGUUAUUGGUCCCACUGCAGACAGAAGCACACAACUCUGCUGUCUAUGAAACAUCGGCAUGGUACUCUUGUAAUGGAGGAAGGAUUGACUGAUAUUAGAACAUCUAAGAUGACAGGUCCAGAGAAGGAUUUGCCAAAGGAAUCUGGUGGUAACCAGUCAGGUAAAUUAGGAAAUAUUCCCAUCACUAAAAUGUAAUUCAGCAGAUUGUUUCCAUGUUUCUUCCUGAUACCAAACUCUCCUUACAAUGGUGGAUUCUCAAGCAGCAUGAGCACUUAAAGUUGCUCAUUUAAUGAGUUACAUGAAAUCAGAACCAACUGGUUGGUCUGAUUUCUGAGUGGUCCUGUGUGGGGCCAGGUGUUGGAAUUGGUGAUACACUUCCCUUCCAACUCAGGAUGUUCUGUGAUUCUAUGACUGCUGCCCAGAAGCAUGCAAUCUGCUGCUCAGGCAUAGCCCCAGGAUGCCACCAGCCUGCAGAGGUUGUUCCUGGCAGAAGUCAUGGGAAGAGUAGGGGUUACCAACAACCAAAUAGAAAAUUAAAGGGUGAAAAAAAACCAGAUCCACCACGGUGUAACUUUCGUUAGUUUCUCUUUCCUCUGAGCUACCCUUUUUGGAUGGAAUAGCACAGUUUGUUGGGUUUGUUGAUUGUAACUUUUAUGGGGAAAAUCUGUUUUGAAUGCUCCUGAAGAGCUUAGUGAGAUGUUCAAAUGGCAUUAAACAAAUUCAUUUAAGAUGAAUCCCACAGUUCUGUACUUAAAGAUGAAUCAUCACAGUUUAU
rnacentral:lncRNA from 1 species